rnacentral:lncRNA from 1 species
CGAAAGUGAAAUCAGAUUGUGUUUUUUACAAACGCAUGAAAAGGUUGGUGGAUAUUUGAAAUACUUGUUCAUUACUUUUUGUUCAUUACUUUCGGCUCGUGUAUUGUUGACUACUAAGUUUUAACCCGCGGUACACCGCGUGACGAUUGUUUUGACGAAAAAAUAUAUAUAUUUAAGUUAUAUUUGUUAAUUUUAUCAUCUUUUUAGUGUUUAAAAUUGUGUAACUGUAUUUUUGAUUGUUAUUUUUUUUUUUUUUGUAUUGUUAAACGGUAAGAUAACCCAUAAGAAAAUAUAAAACUCAAACCCGUUAAAUCAUAUUUAUGUAAAAUAUAAACCUUGAAUGUUUCAUAGAUUUCGAGAAAGAUUUUGGUUUUUGGAUUCCCU